UGGGCAACCUGCCCCUAGCACUGGGAUAACCCCCGGGGAAACCGGAGCUAAUACCAGAUAUGACCACGGACGGCAUCAUCUCGUGGUGGAAAGAUUUAUCGGCUAGGGAUGGGCCCGCGGCCUAUCAGCUUGUUGGUGGGGUAAUGGCCUACCAAGGCGACGACGGGUAGCCGGCCUGAGAGGGCGACCGGCCACACUGGGACUGAGACACGGCCCAGACUCCUACGGGAGGCA
rnacentral:rRNA from 1 species